GCUGGCGGCAGGCCUAACACAUGCAAGUCGGACGGUAACAGGAGAGAAGCUUGCUUUUCUUGCUGACGAGUGGCGGACGGGUGAGUAACGCGUGGGAAUCUACCCUUUAGUUGGGGACAACAUAUGGAAACGUAUGCUAAUACCGAAUAUGCUCUACGGAGUAAAGGUGCCCUCUCCUUGGAAGGUAUCGCUAAAGGAUGAGCCCGCGUUAGAUUAGCUAGUUGGUAGGGUAAAGGCCUACCAAGGCGACGAUCUAUAGCUGGUUUGAGAGGAUGAUCAGCCACACUGGGACUGAGACACGGCCCAGACUCCUACGGGAGGCAGCAGUGGGGAAUAUUGCACAAUGAGGGAAACCUUGAUGCAGCCAUGCCGCGUGUGUGAAGAAGGCCCGAGGGUUGUAAAGCACUUUCAAUUGUGAGGAAGAUUAAGUAGCUAAUACCUGCUUAGUUUGACGUUAACUUUAGAAGAAGCACCGGCUAACUCUGUGCCAGCAGCCGCGGUAAUACAGAGGGUGCAAGCGUUAUUCGGAAUUACUGGGCGUAAAGCGCGCGUAGGCGGACUGUUAAGUCGGUUGUGAAAGCCCUGGGCUCAACCUAGGAACUGCAUCCGAUACUGGCAAUCUAGAGUUUAAGAGAGGGAAGUGGAAUUCCAGGUGUAGCAGUGAAAUGCGUAGAUAUCUGGAGGAACAUCAGUGGCGAAGGCGACUUCCUGGCUUAAAACUGACGCUGAGGUGCGAAAGCUUGGGUAGCGAACGGGAUUAGAUACCCCGGUAGUCCAAGCCGUAAACGAUGUCAACUAGCUGUUGGUCUUAUUAAAAAGAUUAGUAGCGCAGCUAACGCGAUAAGUUGACCGCCUGGGGAGUACGGUC
rnacentral:rRNA from 1 species